GCCAGGCGCGGGGCUGCGUGCCUGUCAUCGGAGCUACUUGGGAGGCUGAGGCUGGAGGGUCUCUUGAGCCCAGGAGUUCUGAGCUGCAGUGCGCUACGCCAAUCGGAUGUCCGCACCAAGUUCGGCAUUAGUAUGGUGACCUCCCGGGAGUGGGGGACCACCAGGUGGCCUAAGGAGGGGUGAACCGGCCCAGAUCAGAAACGGAGCAGGUCAAAACUCCCGUGCUGAUCAGUAGUGAGAUCGCGCCUGUGAAUAGACAUUGCACUCCAGCCUGGCCAACAUAGCAGACUCCGUCUCUU
ensembl:misc_RNA Metazoa_SRP Metazoan signal recognition particle RNA